rnacentral:rRNA from 1 species
GACGAACGCUGGCGGCGUGCCUAAUACAUGCAAGUUGAGCGAUGAAGAUUGGUGCUUGCACCAAUUUGAAGAGCAGCGAACGGGUGAGUAACGCGUGGGGAAUCUGCCUUUGAGCGGGGGACAACAUUUGGAAACGAAUGCUAAUACCGCAUAACAACUUUAAACAUAAGUUUUAAGUUUGAAAGAUGCAAUUGCAUCACUCAAAGAUGAUCCCGCGUUGUAUUAGCUAGUUGGUGAGGUAAAGGCUCACCAAGGCGAUGAUACAUAGCCGACCUGAGAGGGUGAUCGGCCACAUUGGGACUGAGACACGGCCCAAACUCCUACGGGAGGCAGCAGUAGGGAAUCUUCGGCAAUGGACGAAAGUCUGACCGAGCAACGCCGCGUGAGUGAAGAAGGGUUUCGGAUCGUAAAACUCCGUUGGUAGAGAAGAACGUUGGUGAGAGUGGAAAGCUCAUCAAGUGACGGUAACUACCCAGAAAGGGACGGCUAACUACGUG